rnacentral:tRNA from 1 species
GGUUGUGGUUCAGUGGUAGAGCACUUGCCUCACAUGCAUGGGGCACUGGGUUCGAUCCUCCAUACCA